CGUCAAAGGAUACAGCUGUCUUCAAUUAGACUCCUUCUGCAGCUUAAAAGCCAGAGUUCCUUUGUUAGGAAGAAAGAGCUUCUGGGUAUGCCUCAGUAUUGUUUGUUGCUCAGGGAGAGCGUCGUUGAUAUUCUGUGUUGGUUGUUGCUCAGACGUAUUUUGUAGCCGGUUCUGCGGAGGACCUGAGCCCUAGGACCAUGCCCCAGGACUACCUGACAUGAUGACUCCUUGCUGUCCCCAGUCCACCUGGCCAUGCUGCUGCUCCAGUUUCAACUGUUCUGCCUUACUAUUAUUCGACCAUGCUGGUCAUUUAUGAACAUCUUGGUCAUGUUCUGUUAUAAUCUCCACCCGGCACAGCCAGAAGAGGACUGGCCACCCCACAUAGCCUGGUUUCUUCCUAGGUUUUGGCCUUUCUAGGGAGUUUUUCCUAGCCACCGUGCUUUUAUACCUGCAUUGCUUGCUGUUUGGGGUUUUAGGCUGUGUUUCUGUACAGCACUUUGAGAUAUCAGCUGAUGUACGAAGGGCUAUAUAAAUAAAUUUGAUUUGAUUUGAUUAUGUUAAGGUUAUUAUAUAGCAAGGUGAUUGAGUAAAGAGUUGGUUGAAUUCAAAAUUAGUGAGUGGAUGAGAAGUUUAGGUUAUUAUGAUGCAACUCUGACCAGCAGGUCCUCCGAGCAGGGCCGGUAAUUGGGUGGAAGUACAUUGUCUCUCACCCUCAUCUCUGUCACCUCUUUCUCCUCAAACUCUGGUUCCUGAGACCAAUCAGACAACAGGGUUACAGGAGUGUGUUUUGUGUGUCACGUCUGCUCUACUAAAGCAUCUCUGCAUAGAGAAAUGUAGGAGACUCACGUCAAUGACUUUAUCAGCUGUGACAGGGGCGGGCUCAGUGACUAGAGUGAUGUCGAUCAGCAACUCCGAUAGGGCGUCAAGUGAAUCCGUUGAGACUGCGGGCACCUGAACAGAGAUGACAUGCAGUCGGACUUGAAGGGGACAUCAGCAGGUGGUCAUACUGUAUGAUUAAAGGUGUGCCAAAACAUGUGACCACAUCUGCAUGCACACCAAUAUCCUCUUAUUCUGGAUACUCAAUUAUCCUGUUUUUUAGUUUACGCAUAUAAACAUCAUAUCCCGUUUACAAUAACACGGAAAAGCUUGUAUCCCGGUUAUGCGAAACCCCGAAAAGAAGCCUGGGAUAUGUUUAUUUCUGACAGGAUACUGUGGCAUGUAAACAUCUUAUCCCUUUUACUGUUUUUCACUGUCUCAGCAGGGACUGUUUCACAUAUGGAUUUUGUGAUGUUUUCAUCUGAUUGUCAAACAAAUCAUUUAAAAAGAGUAUGUUAUAGCUGUGUAGUUCGAUCCUCCAUAACAAUUUAUUUUGCUGAUACAACAGUAUAGCCUACUGGCUUAUGCUACUUUCACCCCUAAUUUGGAUACUUUUCUGCCUAUAAUUUCCAAACUUUGGUAGGGCAUUUGUCAACUAUAGUUAGAUACAUGCAGCUUCUCUUCUUGUCAUAACUUGUUGCUCAGAAGACUAAAGUAGUGUUCACCAGAAUGAAUGCACUAGUAAUCUACAGUAGUUAACACCAGUAAAGUUGUCUAUUUUGUUUAGGUAGCUGAGAAAAUGAUUAAACACGUUUCUGAUAAGACUUCA